rnacentral:rRNA from 1 species
ACGAAGGGUGCAAGCGUUACUCGGAAUUACUGGGCGUAAAGCGUGCGUAGGUGGUUCGUUAAGUCUGAUGUGAAAGCCCUGGGCUCAACCUGGGAAUGGCAUUGGAUACUGGCGACCUAGAGUGCGGUAGAGGGUAGCGGAAUUCCCGGUGUAGCGGUGAAAUGCGCAGAUAUCGGGAAGAACACCCGUGGCGAAGGCGGCUCUCUGGGACGGUACUGACGCUGAGACGCGAAAGCGUGGGGAGCGAACAGGA